CAGCAGCCGCGGUAAGACGGAGGGUGCUAGCGUUGUUCGGAAUCACUGGGCGUAAAGGGCGCGUAGGCGGCCUGUUAAGUCGGAUGUGAAAGCCCGGGGCUCAACCCCGGAACUGCAUCCGAGACUGGCAGGCUUGAGACCGGGAGAGGAGGGUGGAAUAUCCAGUGUAGAGGUGAAAUUCGUAGAUAUUGGAUGGAACACCGGUGGCGAAAGCGGCUCUCUGGCCCGGAUCUGACGCUGAGGCGCGAAAGCGUGGGGAGCAAACAGGAUUAGAUACCCCUGUAGUCCCUGUCUCUUAUAU
rnacentral:rRNA from 1 species